ACAGCUGAGUGGGUAAAGCACUUAAUGUUAUUUACUCAGUACCAAUGGUCGAUGGUUCGAUUCCAUCCUGGAGCA